UUUUUUUAUUCGUCCGAAGUGUAGUCAAGUCAGAUUUCAUAUCUUAAUCUCAUCAUUUUCAUGUCUACCUAAAAAAUAUGGCCUAUACCAUCUCUGUGUUGGCAACAUUACCGGUUAUCAUGGCUGUGCUUCUCUACCAACUCGGUACGUUCCCUCCAGCUCAAUAUCCCGAUCACGAGUUGACUCCAAAGCAGCUCCUAUUCGUGCCUAAACGAAACACUCACAUGCUUCAUGGCUCGGAAAAAAUCGGGGCCGGUCAGCUGCUGGGGCCAGAAGAUAUGGCUUAUGAUCCCAUCACCGGAAUUAUAUACACCGGCACAACCGAUGGGUGGAUCAACCGAGUCACGGUUACUAGUCGGCAGCUGAGUCUAAGGUGGAGAGAUGGGUCAACACCGGCGGCCGACCACUUGGACUUGUUCAUGGACAUCAUGGUGAAGUCAUCAUAGCAGAUGCUGUUAAAGUUAGUAAUAAACAAAUUUAUAAUAAAAUUUGAUUACCCAAAUUGUCUAUUCUUUGAGAUCAUCGCCCGGUUCAGGUCAGUCCUCGCUGUUGGCUUAAUACAUCAAAACAAUAUUUGAAUAUUCUCAUAUUCUAACAAUUUAUUUAUGGUGCCCAUUUGGUCAUGGAUUAAGAAAACUUUGGUGCCCAUUUGGUCCUCAUUAAAUUUUACUUUUUUUUUUCUGUCUCAUUUUCAAUCAUUUUUAUUUUUUUAACCAUUCAUUUUAUUUUCAAUAUUUCAUAAAAUAAUAUAACAUGUAAAUCGAAAAUUUUUAUUUUUUUUUAAAAGCUCAUUUUUAAAAAAAAAAUAAUAUUUCCCACAUUCUCAUUUGAAAAAAUGAGGGCAAAACGGGGCGUGACGUUGACUUUGCACAUGAUAAGAGUACUUCAAUUUUUAAACGGGGCCUAUGUGGCCUGUUUAACUAGCGGGUCCAUAAAUUUCGUGGUCCUCUAUGAAAUAAGGUUGGUUAGUCAAUUGGUCAUCGAACUUUUCAUUGAGUUAAAUCUCCUUGAAUUAUAAUUCAUUUAUUAAUUCCCUGAAAACUAUUAAAAGUUUUGCCCAUCCAGUAUUAAAGUGGAUUCUGUUUGGAAAAAAAUGGUUUUACACAACAAGAAGUUUAAUGACAUUUUAGAAACAUCAAGACGCUGUUCGAAUUAUUGAAACAGAACAAUAAAAAAAAAAAAGUUAGAGUCGAAUGAAUAAAUAGAUAGUGUCAAUGGCUUCAAUUAGUUAUUGAAACGAAAAAGCAACAAGCUUCUCGAGCCAAUAUUGAAACACCAAGUGCUAUGGUACUGAAGUAACUCUUGUCAUACUUUCAGAAAAAGCUCGAACGAUCUUUAAGCAAAAGGGUACUUGUACCCGAAAUCGAUACAGGUGGGUAGAGUAGAGAAUAUCUAGGGAUGCGAGACAAUCUGCUCUAAGGAACUCUGCAAAAUAGCCCCUUAACUUCGUGAGAAGGCUAUUUAUUCUUGUUGGACAAAGUUAACAUCUUUGAUAUGUCACAUAAGAAUUAUACAGGGGACAUUUGUUUGUAUUGCAAGGGUUACUAAAUGCGAGCAGAGAUGGCACAAUAGAGAUGCUGACUGAUGAAGCUGAUGGUCUAAAAUUCAAGCUAAGAGAUGCUGCUGAUAUUACUCUUGAUGGCAUUCUUUACUUUACAGAUGCUUCUUCUCAAUAAGCUCUCCACGAUUUUUUGUUUGAUUUUUCAGAAGGCAGACCGCAUGGCAGAUUCAUGACUUAUGAUCCGUCUACCAAACAAACAAAAGUUUCUAUUGCGUGGUUUGUAGUAAUUUCACCAGAUCAACAUUUUGUUAUAUUUUGCGAGACUACCAUGUAAGUUUUUCUUUACAUGCUAAUAAUUGACAUGUUUGGUACCAUACUAUAGCAUCCUUGACAAGGUUGAUGUUGUAAUUGAUUGCACUGCAGGAGAAUGUGUAAAAGGUAUUACAUAAAAGGUGAGAAGAGAGGAUCUCUGGAUACAUUUAUUGAAAAUUUACCUGGACUGCCUGACAACAUUCGAUACGAUGGAGAAGGCUGAUACUGGAUUGCAUUAACCACGGAAUGACUUAAAACACAUUCUUCUUCCACUAAACUUCUUAUAUUGUCCG
rnacentral:lncRNA from 1 species